rnacentral:rRNA from 1 species
UGAUAAAGCGAUUUGUCUGGUUAAUUCCGAUAACGAACGAGACUCUGGCCUAUUAAAUAGUUCGCCGAUUCCGAUCUGUCGGCGUUAACUUCUUAGAGGGACAAGUGGCUUUUAGCCACGCGAGAUUGAGCAAUAACA